UGCCCGCCGUGCUGCCUGGGAACGAGAUCUAACGGAGGGAUAAGCAUGUAGUGCUGGGGAUGGAGUGCUUCCGGACGGCGGUUCGAUUCCGCCCACCUCCACCA
rnacentral:tmRNA from 1 species